UUUGCUGCUUACCAAGAUUAUUAGGAGGAGAGGGGGAAGGACAGACGGACAUGUCUUCAGAGACAGCCCAAAGUAAAGUUCAGGCAUCUUUACAGCAACAAAACAAACAGAUGUUCACAUCAAUAGAAAAGAAGUUGAAAGGAUCAGUCGAGAAUGUAGAAAGGAAAGUUUCUGGUACAGAGGCACUGUCAUCAUACUUGCAAGGAAUGCGAAGCAAAUUUUGGAUCUAAUGGACAGGAAAACUCAAAGCCUUCAGCUUCAUAAUCCCAGAUCACGUUUCUUCUUUUUAUGAAGUUACUUCAUAUCUUGGUAUCUGAAUUGUAGAACUGACAAAGAUGACAAAAUCCUGCAGAAAAAGUCUCUUCCUUCAAUAGCUUAUUCUGGACAGAAGAAAUUAAGCCUACAGUCAGGUGUAAACCAGUACACUGUGAGGAUUGGGUUGAUUUUAAAAAAGUUUGCUUAUAUAAUAAAUGCUAAUUUCUAGUAA